rnacentral:tRNA from 2 species
GGCAGCGUAGCUCAGAUGGUUAGAGCGCGGGACUCAUAAGCCCGAGGUCACAGGUUCGAUCCCUGUCGCUGCUACCA